rnacentral:rRNA from 1 species
AUGCUGCCAGCUCGCUGGCAUGGCUGCCGGAAAGCGGUGAGACCCUCCAUGAUGUCGGGAGGGGAAGUUUGUUGGUCUAAGUCCCUUCACAUGGAGGCGUGUUGGCAGCCUAACAUCAGCCCACACAAGUCCAACACAUAUGAACCGUUGAUCUGUUCUGCAUCCAACGGUUGUGAGUAUUUCCUGGUGAAGGGAGCAAGGAGAAAACCCUCGCCAUUCCACCCCUGCUGGUGGCGGCUGCCAUUCGUGAGAGUAAGAGUGAGAGCACAUAAGAGAAAACACAACCUGAGAGAGAGGAAGAAGAAGAAGCAGAGGUUCUAUUCAGAUUUGCUGCAUCUGACUAGACAGUGUUCAAGCUGGUGGUUGGAGGCUCAAAUGUGCUUGGAGCCUUGGAUCGACCCCAAACUUGGUGAGCCCGUUCUUUACUUUGCGUACUUCAAUCUGGUUAGCUGGUUUGAGGAUUGA